rnacentral:rRNA from 1 species
ACGCAAUAGAUACCCUGGUAGUCCACGCCCUAAACGAUGUCUACUAGUUGUCGGGUCUUAAUUGACUUGGUAAACGCAGCUAAACGCGUGAAGUAGACCGCCUGGGGAGUACGGUCGCAAGAUUAAAACUCAAAGGAAUUGACGGGGACCCGCACAAGCGGUGGAUGAUGUGGAUUAAAUUCGAUGCAACGCGAAAAACCUUACCUACCCUUGACAUGGAAGGAAUCCCUGAGAGAUCGGGGAGUGCUCGAAAGAGAACCUUUACACAGGUGCUGCAUGGCUGUCGUCAGCUCGUGUCGUGAGAUGUUGGGUUAAGUCCCGCAACGAGCGCAACCCUUGUCAUUAGUUGCUACGAAAGGGCACUCUAAUGAGACUGCCGGUGACAAACCGGAGGAAGGUGGGGAUGACGUCAAGUCCUCAUGGCCCUUAUGGGUAGGGCUUCACACGUCAUACAAUGGUACAUACAGAGGGCCGCCAACCCGCGAGGGGGUAGCUAAUCCCAGAAAGUGUAUCGUAGUCCGGAUUGUAGUCUGCAACUCG